AAUGGCUACUGUAAAAAUCUUGGUGCAAGAAAUUUUUCAUUUUGGUUGUUUUCUAGCUAGCCAAGUUUGGUGUUGACACAUGGUUAAGUCGGGGUGAAUGGUUCCAAGGAUUUGGGAAAUUUUCAAAGUUAUGGUUUUUAAGAUUUGAUGGCUGGAAUGCACUCUUUAUAUCACCAAAUGGCUCUUCUAAGAAUCUUGUUGCAAGCAAUUUUUCAUUUUGUUG
rnacentral:lncRNA from 1 species